GGAGAAUUGUCCAAUGCAGGUCCAUGGACAACUCUGCUAGGGGGGCUUCAGAGAUGUGUCUGUGGAUUUCACCCCCAGGAGUUCAAUAAGCAAAGGUUUUGGGGGAUCUCAUAUCUGCAGCAAGACCAAACCUUAACUUGGCAAGGAAGCCUGCUCAGAUGUCCAUAGCCCGACCAAGUUGUCUACAGCCUCUGUGAGUGCUCCCACCCAUGCUAUGGCCUCUCCCUGCUACAGCCUCUGUGAAGAUCAUCUCGCCUUUCUCCCAGACCCCCUCUGCUACAUCCUCUGUGAGCUGAUUGGUGUGUGGACAACCUGCUCAAGCAGACUGGGAAGGCCAUACAGGACAUGGACCCUGACUCGGAGCAGACUGAUUUUCAGGACUACUCAAUGGACCCCACAGUUGCUAGUCUUCUGGAUGACUUCACUACCACCACCGCUGCUGACUUCUCUGCUGCCAGCCCCACCCAAGCUGCUCCCACUAUAGUGUCACUAGUUUCCUUAUAGAUCCUUAUCAAUCAGAUCGAGCAUUAACCUGCGGUUGCUCUUGUGUGUCACAAACCACUACCUUCCUUCCCACUGGGCACACACUGGUUGAAUCAAA